CAGAGGGGGCAAGCGUUGUUCGGAAUUACUGGGCGUAAAGGGCGCGUAGGCGGCCUUCUAAGUCGAACGUGAAAUCCCUGGGCUCAACCCAGGAACUGCGUCCGAUACUGGAAGGCUCGAAUCCGGGAGAGGGAUGCGGAAUUCCAGGUGUAGCGGUGAAAUGCGUAGAUAUCUGGAGGAACACCGGUGGCGAAGGCGGCAUCCUGGACCGGUAUUGACGCUGAGGCGCGAAAGCCAGGGGAGCAAACGGGAUUAGAUACCCCGGUAGUCCUGGCCCUAAACGAUGAAUGCUUGGUGUGGCGGGUAUCGAUCCCUGCCGUGCCGAAGCUAACGCAUUAAGCGUUCCGCCUGGGGAGUACGGUCGCAAGGCUG
rnacentral:rRNA from 1 species